rnacentral:tRNA from 1 species
ACUAUUUUGGCAGAAAAAAUGUGAUGAUUUUAGAAGUCAUUAAUAUAUAAUUAUUUAUAUAUUUAGUA